UAUUGUUUACCUUUACUUUGGCCGACAAUGUUGUUUCUCUCCCCUAUCUAUUCUGGUGACCUUCAAGAGGUUUUCUGCUUAGCAAUGCCUAUAAUUGCCUAGCUCUCUUGCCUAGCUCUCAACACUCAUCAUCUAAUUAGUGAUGCGCAUGGAUGGAUGAACGAGAUUCCCACUGUCUCUACCUACUAUCCAGCGAAACCACAGCCAAGGGAAUGGGCUUGGUGGAAUCAGCGGAGAAAGAAGACCCUGUUGAGCUCGACUCUAGUCUGGCCCGGUGAAGAGACGUGAGAGGUGUAGAAUAGGUGGGAGGUGCCCCGGCACCCGCCCGUCCCCGAGAGGGGGCGCGGUGGGGCACGCCGGCCUCGUGGGCUGCCAGUGAAAUACCGCUACACUGAUCGGUUUUCACUGACCUGGUGAGGCAGGGGGUGCCGAGCACUGAGGGGCUCUUGCUUCUGGCGCCAAGCGCCCAGCCGGCAUGCAAAAACCCGCGCCAGGCGCGACCUGCUCCGGGGACAGUGCCAGGUGGGGAGUUUGACUGGGGCGGUACACCUGUCAAACGGUAACGUAGGUGUCCUAAGGCGAGCUCAGGGAGGACAGAAACCUCCCGUGGAGCAGAAGGGCAAAAGCUCGCUUGAUCUUGAUUUUCAGUACGAAUACAGACCGUGAAAGCGGGGCCUACUCACGAUCCUUCUGACCUUUGGGAUUUCAAGCAGGAGGUGUCAGAAAAGUUACCACAAGGAUAACUGGCUUGUGGUGGCCAAGCGUUCAUAGCGAUGUUGCUUUUUUGAUCCUUUGAUGUCGGCUCUUCCUAUCAUUGUGAAGCAGAAUUCAAGUGUUGGAUUGUUCACCCACUAAUAGGGGAACGUGAGGUGGGUUUAGAGGGUCGUAAAGGACAGGUUAGUUUUUGCCCUACUGAUGUGUUGCCAUGGUAAUCCUGCUCAGUGUGAGAGGAACUGCAGAUUUCAGACAUUUGGUGUGUUAUGUGCUUGGCUGAAGAGCCAAUGGUGUGAAGCUACCAUCUGUGGGAUUAUGACUGAGCGCCUCUAAGUCAGAAUCCCGUCCCGGUGGGAAUGAUACGGCAGCGCCGCAGAGCCUCAGAUGGCCGGUCCCCUGCUGGGGUCCGUCGCGCGCAUGCCCCAAUAUAUUUACAAUGUUUAUGUCUUCUUCAUGGAUUCUUUCCUUGAAUAUUAUGCAGUGACCUUCUGGGUCUCUCUUUAUGGCCUUCUUUUUGAAGCUUAUUUUGUCUGAUAUGUGUAUAGC
rnacentral:rRNA from 1 species